rnacentral:lncRNA from 1 species
GUGAUUCUCAAGUGGGUUCAUAAAAAUAUUUUUAUUAUAGACAGAUAUCACUCCAUGAAUACAAUUCUCAUUCACAAGUCAGGCCACUUAUCUUAUGUAUCCUAAAUAAAAGAGUGCAUAUUGCUUUUCUGUCAUGCUUUUGACCAAGUGGGCCAACUUUAUGUUAUCAGCCUGGAACAAGGUUCAACAAGUUGCAUCUGCAGACAAAAUCUAGCCCCCUGCCUGUUUUUGUGUGGCCUAAGAGCUAAUAAUCACG